AGAGUUUGAUCAUGGCUCAGAUUGAACGCUGGCGGAAUGCUUUACACAUGCAAGUCGAACGAUGAACCUUAGCUUGCUAAGGGGAUUAGUGGCGAACGGGUGAGUAAUAUAUCGGAACGUGCCUUGUAAUGGGGGAUAACUAGUCGAAAGAUUAGCUAAUACCGCAUACGCCCUGAGGGGGAAAGUAGGGGAUCUUCGGACCUUACGUUAUAAGAGCGGCCGAUAUCUGAUUAGCUAGUUGGUGGGGUAAUGGCCUACCAAGGCUUCGAUCAGUAGCUGGUCUGAGAGGACGACCAGCCACACUGGAACUGAGACACGGUCCAGACUCCUACGGGAGGCAGCAGUGGGGAAUUUUGGACAAUGGGCGCAAGCCUGAUCCAGCCAUUCCGCGUGAGUGAAGAAGGCCUUCGGGUUGUAAAGCUCUUUCGCAAGGGAAGAAAACUUACAUUCUAAUAAAGUGUGAGGCUGACGGUACCUUGAUAAGAAGCACCGGCUAACUACGUGCCAGCAGCCGCGGUAAUACGUAGGGUGCGAGCGUUAAUCGGAAUUACUGGGCGUAAAGCGUGCGCAGGCGGUUUGGCAAGUCAGAUGUGAAAUCCCCGAGCUCAACUUGGGAACUGCGUUUGAAACUGCCAGACUAGAAUAUGUCAGAGGGGGGUAGAAUUCCACGUGUAGCAGUGAAAUGCGUAGAGAUGUGGAGGAAUACCAAUGGCGAAGGCAGCCCCCUGGGAUAAUAUUGACGCUCAUGCACGAAAGCGUGGGGAGCAAACAGGAUUAGAUACCCUGGUAGUCCACGCCCUAAACGAUGUCUACUAGUUGUUGGUGGAGUAAAAUCCAUGAGUAACGCAGCUAACGCGUGAAGUAGACCGCCUGGGGAGUACGGUCGCAAGAUUAAAACUCAAAGGAUUGACGGGGCCCGCACAAGCGGUGGAUUUUGUGGAUUAAUUCGAUGCACCGCGAAAACCUUACCUGGCCUGACAUGCCACUAACGAAGCCAAAAUGCAUUAGUGCCGUAAGGAAGUGGACACAGUGCUGCAUGGCUGUCUUCAGCCCUGUCGUGAGUAGUUGGGUUAGUUCGAACAAGGCAACUUGGCAUUAUUGUGCGAUCAU
rnacentral:rRNA from 1 species